UUGAGGGGACACGUGAUGUUUGGAAAGAGUAGAGAAACACACCAAAGAACUUUUCGUGGUGUUCUGGCUGCUUCCUGCCACUUCCACAGUUUCUUCUGGAUCAAGCCACUGCUUCUUCGAGUGGACUGACUGCUUACAGUGAAGACUGGAAUCGCCUCAAAGAACUACUUCUAAACAAAUCCAUGCCCCCUUGUCCUAUCUUCCUCCCAUAUUUUUGGCAGGUGGAUUACAAGGAAGGUUGAAGCAUUUAAGAACCUUUAUUAAAGUGAGUUUUGAAAAA